AUACCAAAACCAACAGCCACCAAACCAAAGCAGCUGUUUCCUCUCAACACCACGGAGCAGCGUCUACUACUUCUACACCCUCCAGAUGUCUUAGCUUUCAACCAUCUUCAAGGGGUGAGCCUGGCUACCCUACAAAGAAAACAAACUUUGGUUGCUUCCAGCCUAUAUUUUGCACACAACCCAAAGCUGAUCAACACAUUGGAGAAGGUUCGAACUUGAUGAAAACUCUUCCUGCCGGGUCAGCUAUUUACCACAACAGUCCGUUUCAAUACCAGUACAAUGCCUGGAUUACUGCUGUCUGUCAAUCUCACCUUCUCUUUUCCCCUCGCUCAUGAACUCAUUCCCAAUCCUACUAAUCCACCAUUUUCCGUCAAAGAACCAUGUCCUCAGACUUUGAGGUCCUCAGUGCAUGCUCACGGUAAAGGUCUGAUAAGGUAAACACUACCACAUCAUCUGCAAAGAGCAGAGUUCCAAUCCUGAGGAUCUGGACACUGCACCAGAUAAUAUUUGUGGACUUGAAAUACUAUCCAGGAAAAUCACAAACAUAAUCUGUGACAAGGGACAACACCAGUAGAGCCCAUCACCUCUUGAUCGAGAGAGAGAGUAGUAACUAAUUUCAGCCCAAACAUGACCGGCAUUCUGCUUUUAAUGUCCAAACCUGACUCAAGCUUGUUCCAAGUAACAAAUAGCCUCAACAAGGCAUGUGGCUCCAACACACACUAUGUCUAUUAAAAUAUACACUGUAUUUUCACUAAAAGAACUUGAAAGCACCACGCUGAUUGAUGUGACUAAAUUGGAUGCGAACCCAGACAUCAGCUCCAAAUGUUUGGCCUGUCAGGUUCCAACAAGUUCAGGCCAGGUCUCCAAACUCUAACAUGAUCAAUGAAAUCCUCGAGAUGAACUGCAAAGACCCUGGCAUUAUCCUUUCUUGGACCACACCCAGAGACUCUGAGAAGGCCAGAUAUUCUGAACCAUUCUUUGGAGCGUGGGCACAGAUGACAGCUGGAGCCCUCCCCUCAGCAACCUAUAGUCUUUGAGUCUCUGGCUGAUACCAGGGAUUAUGGAAAUGACAUUUACCUUUCCACAGCCUGUCAUCUUAUCAGCCUUUCUGUUGACCUCAGUAUCUGGAGUAAUUGUUAAUAUGCAUGCCGGUGCAUAUAUUUACAGUGAGACUGAGUGUGCAUGUGUGUGUGUAAGUGCCUGUACCUGUGUUUACUCAUUCAAAUGUAUGUAUUUGUUCACGGUGCAAGCUUGUGUGUUCACUCGUGUGUGUCAGAGAUAGUUCCUUGCUGUGUUUCGCUGUAGAAGUCUGGUAUAGUUUGUAUUCUCUAGCUACACUUCUCCGAUGCAGCCAAUGGAAAUGAAAAGGUAAGCGGAGGUGGAUCUGGGACAAGGGCAUCUGUCAAGGGUGUGAAUAAUGCAGUGGUAGUCUGCAAAAUAACCACAACAAUAUAUCAUCAUAAAGCAAAUAAAUACGGCACUAUAUCCACUCUGUCUUCUUAGAGUCCUGUUUGGGAUCCAAAGUUGGGUUAUAGUUCUGUUACUGUAGGUCCAUUUGUUCUGGUGAAAUUGAUUUCAAAGUUUAUUACUGGUUUGGCCCUCAGAGAGAGCAGCAAACUGAAUGAACAGGGAAACAACCAGGUUACUAAAGCAUUAACAAAUAUGGAGAUAUAUCUACAUUUAGAAUUCAGAUCCAUCAUCUGUCUAUCCAUCUAUCUAGACCAGGUGAAAACUGCAGCAAGACAGUAUUGGAACAACAUAAGUGUUACAGUGGACACAUGUUUUGACCAGAGGCCUGCACCACACUCAUCAAACAACAGGCACAUGAAUAAUGGACUUUCAAGCAUCAUCGAGUGACCUCAGUGAUGUCUGCAGGCUGGAACUUGUCAGUUUAAGCAAGAAUAUUUUCUCAAGAUUGCAAAGACUGCUGGAGUUUUCACCUUGGAGACGUGAAAGCAGCUCUUAAGAGGCUCAAGUUGAACAUUUAGAAAUGAAUUAAACACUUUGUUCCUCUUGACACUCUUUUACUGCCUUGUGUGUGUGAGGCUUUGAUUCCUUAAAACAAGAAGGUGUGUAAUGUUGAAGGGUUUUUGGGAGUUUUUUCCUCAAUCCAAUCAAGGGUCUGAGGACAAAGGGAUUACAUUCAUUGAACACACUUUAAAGCCCACUGAGCUGAUGUGAUUUGUGAUUUUGAGCUAUAUAAAUAAAACUGUCUUGACUUCUUGACCUUUCUUCAGCUGUCCACUGACUCCUGGUCAGUGACCUUUGACCACCUCCCAGUGGAUCCAGUUUUUGUGUAGGUCUGAUGUCACUGAGACUCAAGACAGGAUUUCAACAUUCAGACCUGCUGGAUAGUUUCAGUGAGACACUGGGACAUUUCCAGCCAUGUUGGUGGUGAAAAAUAUGAUCUUUUCCCAACCCUAACCAACUGCUUAUUGUAUAUAAAAACAGAUUGUAUGUGAGAGAAUAGAACUUGACCUUGUGUUUUACAAAAGUACAGUGCAUGUGCUUCAUGCCUGUGGACACAGACAUAUAUAAAAAGAGGCCUUGUAAUCUCAGUGACAGCUUUUACAGUUGUGCAUUUUGUUGCCAUGCCAUUAUUUCAUUCUUUAGAACCUAGUGUACAAUAAACAGAAUGCAAAAAAGUUAUUAAGCUGAGUACUUCAGCUUCCAUGUUAUAAUAAACCAUAGUUUCACUCAUUUUUUUUUACCCUCACACUUACAAGCGUGUGACACUUAUAAAGUAAGGCAUUCAUAUGAAACAUGAAACUCGAUAAAGCUAAAAAGCUGCUUUAUAGAUUAUACAAAAGGCUGACCUUGGUGAAGGUGAUAUGCUGAGAUCAUGCAAUGAAGAAAAAUACUUUCAGUGCAUGAGCAGAAAUUGCAGUAGGAGCACUGGUAGAUGGAAUGGGUUUCAAGUAUGUCACCGAAGAAUACAGGGAGCAGGACAGUAAAAGGCCAUCCAUUCUUUGUCUCAACCUCGGCUCUAUAAAGCUCUAGAGUUUCACUGAGAGGGUGGAAAAGUUAGGAGACAGAGAGAUUGACGAGAGGGAGGCGACACACUCGACUUUCCCUGAGGCCUAAAGAGACGAAGGCAUUACAGGAGAGUGUUUAAGUGACUGUCACAAACUGGGAUUGGACACACAACAUUGAGGCUGAAUUAGACUAAUUGCUAUCCUGAGGUGGCCCUCUACACUUUUGAUUUGCUACCAAUGUCGUCUGGCGUGGAGAAUAGAAUUCCCCGCAGCCUAAUGUUCAUUAACAGUUGACCAACAACAAAUUAAUAUUUACCCAGAGGCUAAUUUCCUCAUUAGUCCUCAAAUUCAAAGUACAUUUUUCUCCACAGUCAGUUUUAAAGUUUGCCAAAGUGUUGCAAGAACUAAUGACCUCUACCAAAAGCACAAUGAUUACCACCUUGAACUUUCUGUGGCCGCUGUUAAAACCUAAAUUACAGGUGGUAACUUAUAUCAUGUCAUUAUGCCCUUAUUGUAUAGCAACGUCCUUGACCGUAAACAGCCUAUAGGCAAGCUUUAUCUGGUAUUCAAGUAAUAUUUCACUGACUGAAGAUCCCACUUCAGCCCUAAGGUGUAUUCCCUGGAAGGACAAUGAGGUUUUAUUUAGCAUAUUUCAACCAUAUGUGCAGGGAGUGGCCUGGGAUGCGGUGCUAUGUGCAGCCACAUGAGACACAUUUAUGGCCAAGCGAGAAGAGGCUGCGUGAUGGAUAAAGAUAUCGCAACGCUCCGGGGGUGUAGAUAUCAAUUGCGGCCCAGAUCUGAGAGACAGCACCGCAGAAGAAGAUGAGGGAGCGCGGGGGCAUUUUCCAUCUCAUUCCCUCUCUGCCAACUGAUUACAGGGCACGGUGGUGGUAUCAAUCUUUGACAAGUCAUUCUCAUUGGAUGCUCAUGGAGUUAUAGCUUUUCUAGGGGUUCAUUUUAAAAUGAAAAUGACUGUGAGAUUGACAUGAGGGGUGAGAUGAGGAGAGCACAGGCGAAGUCUGCAGGUGAAGAGCAGGAGAAAAAGGACACAACAGGGUCAAGGCACCACUGGUGGAUGGACCACAGACAGCAAUCAUGCAUACAAUGAGUGAGAGACAAAUACAGAUUGAGUCCAACAUGCUAUAAUUGAGCUCUUCUUCAUUAGGUAUACAGGAUGUGAACAAACAACAACAAGAGUGGCUGUGUUUGCACAGGCCAGGAGCACUGUAAAUGACUCUUUGCUAAUAGGCUGACAGAUGGCAUCAUUUGCAUUCAUUAGUAUACAGAAUCUAAGACACCAGCACCUAUAGCAGAGGUCACUGAUGGCCUUUGCUUCUGCUGAGACAGACUGAAGCGUAGAGGUCGUCUGUCUGACGGACUGGAGUGCCCAUUAAAUGCUAAAUGGAUAAUUGCUUGUUAAAUGGGGAAGCCCUGCCAUUAUAGUCUGACUCACUGGAUGUAGGUUGUUGGUACCAGCCUGCCGAUGGCCGACUGUUUCAGUCAGCAUUGUCUUCUUCACCAUCUCAGCUAGAUUGUGGAUAUCUGACCCGAACCCAUUGGGACCCAAUGACACAUAUAAACGUUGUUGGACUCCAAUCAGGUUUGGACGUAAAAAGAAAUGAACACCUGUCAAGUUCGGCUUGGGCUCCUUAACUACCCUCUCAGGCUUGGUCCGGUUCAGACAGAAGCUGUGGCCCGAGCAGCACUCAAAACAACAACAACAAUCUCAGAGCUGGUAACCUGAACCCUGAAGAUGGAAAGUAACCCUUCUAGGUUUCAUCUGACUUAUUAAAAAGAGAUGCCGAAAUAAAUUGAGAAACACUGUCAGUUUGAACACCAUGUCUUUGUUAUAUGCUAAAUAUGUGUCAAAAACUCAUGUUAGCAUUUGGUGUUUUUUAUAUCAGAGUCUCUGUUUUUUCUCCCUCAGUAAAGUAUUUAAAAUGUUUGGAUGAUUGAUCUUUGCACCGGAAUGUAUCCGGGCUAACCCCACCCAUCAUUUAAAGCCACAUGUGGUCGUGGGUAGCUGCAGCUAGCGGUAGUGAUAUCUCAGUGGGAGGUGUGCUUUUUGGAUAUCAGUGAGAAAAAGAAACUUGUUUACACGUCCAAAGAACUUCCAGUCCUGUAUCUCAUUACUGCUCUGCAUCACUCAACAGCUGCUUUUAAAAAAAAUAUCUGCUUGUGUGAUUAAAGUCUAAAAGCAUUUAUUGCUGUAAUUCGUGCCUCUGACUGGCUGAGGCUGUUUUUCAUGAUGACCAAAUAAACAGCAUGUUCUGGUCCAUUUCUCAAAAGGCCAGAACUGAGACUCCA